rnacentral:lncRNA from 1 species
AAGGCUAUAGCACACCCGUUUCUUGGCCAUUUUUCCGCUGGGGGGUGUUGGCGCCCCGACGUUCGGGCGCUCAUUUUUGGGCGCCGCUGUGCCCGUGGCCUAUUUUUGGCACACGUAGGCCGCCCGCAAAGUUUGGGGCCAUUCCGAGUCCGGCAUAUGAACUUCGCCCACGCCCCCCACCAAGGCUAUAGCCCACACGUUUUUUGGCCAUUUUUCCGCUGGGGGGUGUUGGCGCCCCGACCUUCAGAUGUUCAUUUUUGGGCGCGGCUGUGCCCGUGGCCUAUUUUUGGCAAACGGAAGCCGCCCGGAAUGUCUGGGGCCAUUCCGAGUCCGGCGGACGAACUUCGCCCACGCCUCCCGCCAAGGCUAUAGCCCACCCGUUUUUUGGCCAUUUUUCCGCUGGCGGGUGUUGUCGCCCCGACCUUCGGGCGCUCAUUUUUGGGCACGGCUGUGCCCGUGGCCUAUUUUUGGCACACGGAGGCCGCCCGCAAAGUCUGGGGCCAUUCCGAGUCCGGCGGACGAACUUCGCCCACGCCCCCCACCAAGGCUAUAGCACACCCGUUUCUUGGCCAUUUUUCCGCUGGGGGGUGUUGUCGCCCCGACCUUCCGGCGCUCAUUUUUGGGCGCGGCUGUGCCCGUGGCCUAUUUUUGGCAAACGGAGGCCGCCCGGAAAGUCUGGGGCCAUUCCGAGUCCGGCGGACGAACUUCGCCCACGCCUCCCGCCAAGGCUAUAGCCCACCCGUUUUUUGGCCAUUUUUCCGCUGGCGGGUGUUGUCGCCCCGACCUUCGGGCGCUCAUUUUUGGGCACGGCUGUGCCCGUGGCCUAUUUUUGGCACACGGAGGCCGCCCGCAAAGUCUGGGGCCAUUCCGAGUCCGGCGGACGAACUUCGCCCAUGCCCCCCACCAAGGCUAUAGCACACCCGUGUCGUGGCCAUUUUUCCGCUGGGGGGUGUAGUCGUCCCGACCUUGGGGCGCUCAUUUUUGGGCACGGCUGUGCCCGUGGCCUAUUUUUGGUACACGGAAGCCGCCCGCAAAGUCUGGGGCCAUUCCGAGUCCGGCGGACGAACUUCACCCACGCCCCCCGCCAAGGCUAUAGCCGACCCGUUUUUUGGCCAUUUUUCCGCUGUGGGGUGUUGGCGUCCCUACCUUCGGGAGCUCAUUUUUGGGCGCGGCUGUGCCCGUGGCCUAUUUUUUGCACACGGAGGCCGCCCACAAAGUCUGGGGCCAUUACGAGUCCGGCGGACGAACUUCGCCCACGCCCCCCACCAAGGCUAUAGCACACCCGUUUCUUGGCCAUUUUUCCGCUGGGGGGUGUUGGCGCCCCGACCUUCGGGCGCUCAUUUUUGGGCGCCGCUGUGCCCGUGGCCUAUUUUUGGCACACGGAGGCCGCCCGCAAAGUUUGGGGCCAUUCCGAGUCCGGCAUACGAACUUCGCCCACGCCCCCCACCAAGGCUAUNNN